rnacentral:rRNA from 1 species
AUACGGAGGAUCCGAGCGUUAUCCGGAUUUAUUGGGUUUAAAGGGUGCGCAGGCGGGGGAUUAAGUCGGCGGUGAAAUUUUUCAGCUCCACUGUAAAAGUGCCUUCGAAACUGGGUUCCUUGAGUGUAGAUGAAGUAGGCGGGAUUUGUGGUGUAGCGGUUAAAUGCAUAGAUAUCACGAGGAACUCCGAUUGCGCAGGCAGCUUACUAAACUACUACUGACGCUCAGGCACGAAGGCGUGGGGAUCAAACAGGAUUAGAUACCCUGGUAGUCCACGCAGUAAACGAUGAUUACUAGCUGUUUGCGAUACAAUGUAAGCGGCUGAGCGAAAGCGUUAAGUAAUCCACCUGGGGAGUACGUUCGCAAGAAUGAAACUCAAAUGAAUUGACGGGG